CUCAUGUGGAGAAUCACAACAUGAUCGAGGGUCUGCAGUCAGAGCUGACAAGGUUACAGGAACAUUCACACCAAGUUCUUUUGAGAGCAUAAAGUGGAGCAGUAAGGAGCAGUCUCACUCCAGUGAUUAAGUAUUGCAAUAAAAAGAAGAACAAUCCAAAUCAAAGCUGCAGAGGCAGAGAUAUCCUGAUUUCUGUCUGUAUCCUACAUUUCCCACAAUGCAACCCAAUACCAUCUUUCAUUUAGACCCUCUCUGCCUCCUAAAUACCUAAUAGUUUCAAACCCUUAACCUCCAGUUGAAGGUCUUAAGGCCAAGCAUCAUCAGGGUAGUACUUGCGGAGUACCCCUUUAACAGAGCUAUCAUGGUUUUGUAUAAAAGUUAAAUAUUUGAAAGAAGCUUUUUGGGCUAUUUCCAAGGAAGACAAAGAAUUGCAAGCCAA